AAUGUCGGUUUAACGUUAGUUAAGUUAACCGUUCAUUCUGGACGUUGAUUUUGUGGACACCAAUAUGCGGUUGGACGGGCGUCACAUUAAUUGUGUCCGCAGUUAAGUAUUUCAAUUUUCAUCGAAUCUUCACCAAACUGUCUGCAAAUUUCUGUUGACACAGAGUUGGAAUCGUGUUUUGACUUCAGUCAAUAUGCAAACUGUACUUAAGAGUAAUCUCCCUUAAUAAAUACAAACAACGGCGAAAAUUGCCGUUUGAUUUUAAUUCUUACUGGUUAAAUAAAAUUGUCACCAUACUUUCUAGAAAUAUUUGUUUGCAUAAAAUGGAGCCGUAGUUCACUAACUAGCCGCAUUUCGUUCGGCAUCUGAUGGCCAAUACACCUUUGUCACGAAAACGACGACCUCAACCACCACUAUCACCACCGCCACAACAUUUUUCUGAACCAGAACUACCACCACCACCAUGUUAGUAUCAUCAGCGUCAACACCUUAGCCGUAGUAAUAGUAAUCACCAUAGUUGUCAUCAUCGUCUUCGUUUCAAUAAUCAUCACCAAUAUCCCCUCAUUGCUUCAUCAUUGUCAAGCCAUCAUCGUUGAACGAUCAUUAAUCUGCAAAAUUAUCGCAAUCAUCUUUAUUCCUGUACCUUACUUUCAAAGUAUUUGUCCUCCUUAUAGUAUCGUGUCUUUAACAAAGAACCUUCAAGAAGUGCUGGAUAGUUUAUGUGUUUUUUUCAAUUUUAAGAAGUUGUAAUUUAUUUGAUGGUUAUCCAUGACCAUUAGGACGAUCAUUCUCAUGAUUUCCGUAGUUCGCUGGAAAGUAGAUCAUGGCUAUUCCACGGUGCAGUUAUGAUUUUUAAUUACGUAACACACACUUUUGUUAGUUCGUUUAUGGAUUAUUAUGCCCCCCUUCGAAGAAGAGGGGGUAUAUUGCUUUGCUCAUGUCGGUCUGUCGGUCGGUCGGUCCGUCCACCAGGUGGUUGUCAGACGAUAACUCAAGAACGCUUGGGCCUAGGAUCAUGAAACUUCAUAGGUACAUUGAUCAUGACUUGCAGAUGACCCCUAUUGAUUUUGAGGUCACUAGGUCAAAGGUCAAGGUCACGGUGACCCGAAAUAGUAAAAUGGUUUCCGGAUGAUAACUCAAGAACGCAUACGCCUAGGAUCAUGAAACUUCAUGGGUAGAUUGAUCAUGACUCGCAGAUGACCCCAAUUGAUUUUGAGGUCACUAGGUCAAAGGUCAAGGUCACGGUGACCCGAAAUAGUAAAAUGAUUUUCGGAUGAUAAUUCAAGAACGCAUAUGCCUAGGAUCAUGAAACUUUAUAGGUAGAUUGAUCAUGACUCGCAGAUGACCCCUAUUGAUUUUCAGGUCACUAGGUCAAAGGUCAAGGUCACGGUGACCCGAAAUAGUAAAAUGAUUUUCGGAUGAUAACUCAAGAACGCAUAUGCCUAGGAUCAUGAAACUUCAUAGGUAGAUUGAUCAUGACUCACAGAUGACCCCUAUUGAUUUUGAGGUCACAAGGUCAAAGGUCAAGGUCAUGGUGACCCGAAAUAGUAAAAUGAUUUUCGGAUGAUAACUCAAGAAUGCUUUUGCCUAGGAUCAUGACACUUCAUAGGUACAUUAAUCGUGACUUGCAGAUGACCCCUAUUGAUUUUCAGGUCACUAGGUCACAGGUCAAGGUAACAGUGACAAAAGUCGUAUUCACACAAUGGCUGCCAGUACAACGGACAGCCCAUAUGGGGGCAUGCAUGUUUUACAAACAGCCCUUGUUUAUAGAUUUAUCAAAUGUUUUAUAUGCUGAUAUUUUCAUAAAAUUUUAACAUAUUUUAAGAACAACAUGAGCAAGAGUUUCGUUUUUCCAUUAGGUUACUUUUUAAGAACAAGCACAUGCACAUAGUUACAAUUCUUAGCAACCAAUCAGAAAAGCAGAUACUAUGAGACAAUUGUACAUGUACAUGUAAAUUAAACAUAUUCAACUGGGAGCUAGGUCUAGUUAGUAUUGUACAUUGCCGAUUGCAGUUUUCGUUAUUAUGUCCAAGAUUACACAUUUAACUUAAGAUUGGCAUAUAACACAUUCGUGUAUUUGUAUUUUUUUAAAUUCUAAAAUGCGUAUGCAUUAAUUAAGAGGGCCGAUACUACGGAUAGACAUGCUAUUUUUGAUAAUUUAAGAUAUUUUAAUACGACUACCUACAGUUAUACCUUAUACGAAAACAAAGUUUGGGCACAUUUUAAUUUAGGUUUACUUAAAGGAAAUACAUUUUACUUAUUUCAGCGAGAACGAAAUCAGAUACAGUAUGUGUAUCAAACUUUACAUAGUAUAUGAACACUUCGCGUGGUAUUGUAUAUUGAUUUAUCGGAUCAAGGUACUAAAAUUGAAUGUCACGAUGAUUUCUACAAUAACCUACUUUGGAGUUAUAACAACACCAAAAAAAUCUAACACGCUAAGUAUCAAUGCCUAUUUUGGAUUUAAACGAAAGAGCGUUCUAAGGAUAGUGCGCAUUGGCGUUUAACAGUAUAGUGGGUUACUCACCUUUAAAGUGAACAACGAAGUUGUUUUUAUAUCAAAAUACGGCGCAGCAAUGUACAUUUUAUCAUACCACCGCAUUAAUAUCUGCCUGAUAUAUUUUGUUAUAUCAUGGUCAACAGGAAGUUCUUAUAUCAGUCAAUGUUUGGAGUUACGUGGGAUUUGAAAUAAAGUCAACAAUUUUCUUUCAACAUGAAUCAGGUUUAACAAAACAAACAAUUUGAUACCAAGAACGUACAUAUUUUAUUCUAGUUUAAAGUCAUAAAUCACAAAAACGUUAUUUUUUUUAAAUCACCACAGCCCGCACUACAGAAGUUAAAUGACGUCAUCAAUGGGGCAACACAUCGUAAAUAUCGAUAUUGCCAUUUCGCUCGCAAGUGUUGCACAGAAAGUCGCGACAAAUGAUAACUGUGUGCUAAUCAUCAACUAUUUAAACAAACGAUUUAACACCCUUAUGUCAAUAAUGUCACCAUCAUCAAAAUGUAAAUUUCAAUACACAUCUCCAAAA